UACGUAGGGGGCAAGCGUUGUCCGGAUUUAUUGGGCGUAAAGCGCGUGUAGGCGGCCACACAGGUCCGUUGUGAAAACUCGAGGCUCAACCUCGAGACGCCGAUGGAAACCGCAUGGCUAGAGUCCGGAAGAGGAGAGUGGAAUUCCUGGUGUAGCGGUGAAAUGCGCAGAUAUCAGGAAGAACACCCGUGGCUAAGGCGGCUCUCUAGUACGGUACUGACGCUGAGACGCGAAAGCGUGGGGAGCGAACAGG
rnacentral:rRNA from 1 species